rnacentral:rRNA from 1 species
UACGUAGGGUGCGAGCGUUGUCCGGAAUUAUUGGGCGUAAAGCGCUUGUAGGCGGUUUGUCGCGUCUGCUGUGAAAAUCCGGGGCUCAACCCCGGACUUGCAGUGGGUACGGGCAGACUAGAGUGCAGUAGGGGGGACUGGAAUUCCUGGAGUAGCGGUGAAAUGCGCAGAUAUCAGGAGGAACACCGGUGGCGAAGGCGGGCCCCUGGGCCGGUACCGACGCUGAGGAGCGAAAGCGUGGGGAGCAAACAGG